AACGAACGCUGGCGGCAGGCCUAACACAUGCAAGUCGAGCGCCCUUUCGGGGGAGCGGCGGACGGGUGAGUAACGCGUGGGAAUAUGCCCUUCUCUACGGAAUAGCCUCGGGAAACUGAGAGUAAUACCGUAUACGCCCUGUGGGGGAAAGAUUUAUCGGGGAAGGAUUAGCCCGCGUUGGAUUAGGUAGUUGGUGGGGUAAUGGCCUACCAAGCCGACGAUCCAUAGCUGGUUUGAGAGGAUGAUCAGCCACACUGGGACUGAGACACGGCCCAGACUCCUACGGGAGGCAGCAGUGGGGAAUCUUAGACAAUGGGGGCAACCCUGAUCUAGCCAUGCCGCGUGAGUGAUGAAGGCCUUAGGGUCGUAAAGCUCUUUCAGCUGGGAAGAUAAUGACGGUACCAGCAGAAGAAGCCCCGGCUAACUCCGUG
rnacentral:rRNA from 1 species